CCUACGGGAGGCAGCAGUGGGGAAUAUUGCGCAAUGGGCGAAAGCCUGACGCAGCGACGCAGCGUGAGGGACGAAGGCCUUCGGGUUGUAAACCUCUUUCAGCGGGGACGAAGCGAAAGUGACGGUACCCGCAGAAGAAGCACCGGCUAACUACGUGCCAGCAGCCGCGGUAAUACGUAGGGUGCAAGCAUUGUCCGGAUUUAUUGGGCGUAAAGAGCUCGUAGGCGGCUUGUCACGUCGGAUGUGAAAACUCGGGGCUCAACCCCGAGCCUGCAUUCGAUACGGGCUAGCUAGAGUGUUGCAGGGGAGACUGGAAUUCCUGGUGUAGCGGUGAAAUGCGCAGAUAUCAGGAGGAACACCGGUGGCGAAGGCGGGUCUCUGGGCAACUACUGACGCUGAGGAGCGAAAGCGUGGGGAGCGAACAGGAUUAGAUACCCUGGUAGUCCACGCCGUAAACGGUGGGCGCUAGGUGUGGGGAACCUUCCACGUUCUCUGUGCCGUAGCUAACGCAUUAAGCGCCCCGCCUGGGGAGGUACGGCCGCGAGACGUAAACUACAAAGGAAGUUAGACGGCGUGAGACGUGCCGAACGGACGACGACCGAGGGGAGGUAGG
rnacentral:rRNA from 1 species